rnacentral:rRNA from 1 species
GGGUGUGAUCAUACCAGCGUUAAUGCACCAGAUCCCAUCAGAACUCCGCAAUUAAGCGGGCUUGGGCUAGAGUAGGACUGGGAUGGGUGACCUCCUGGGAAGUCCUAGUGUUGCACCCU